AUGCACGUCCAAGUACGAGCACUUGUACUGUGAAACUGCGAAUGGCUCAUUAAAUCAGUUAUCGUUUAUUUGAUUGUACCAUUGCUACAUGGAUAACUGUAGUAAUUCUAGAGCUAAUACAUGCGAAAAGUUCCGACUUCUGGAAGGAAUGUAUUUAUUAGAUUCAAAACCAGUGCGGGUUCACGCCCGGUACUUUGGUGAUUCACAAUGACUUAGCGAAUCGCAUGGCCUUUGCGCCGGCGAUGUUUCAUUCAAAUUUCUGCCCUAUCAACUGUCGAUGGUAAGGUAGUGGCUUACCAUGGUUGCAACGGGUGACGGAGAAUUAGGGUUCGAUUCCGGAGAGGGAGCCUGAGAAACGGCUACCAC
rnacentral:rRNA from 1 species